rnacentral:tRNA from 1 species
GCCUUCGUGGUGUAAUGGUCAGCACACUCGGUGCACAUUCGAAAGGUCCGAGGUUCGAGUCCCCGCGAAGGCA